AGCCCAUCUUGGUUUUUUCUAUGAUUUGUUCAAUUAGACGUUACAGUAUUAUGCAAUAGUGAAGUAUUUCACAAUCAUCAAAUCUUACUGAUACAUAUGGCCAUCACGAAGUAUCUCUGUGAUCGUCAUUUCGAACUUUCUCCAGAGAAAUUACUGAAAAGAAUUGACAUCAGUAAUGAAUUGAUGGUCGUUUAAAAAAUAUCCUCAUUUCGCCC
rnacentral:lncRNA from 1 species